CAGUCAUAUCAUAUUUGACAAGGAAACAGUCUGGCGGCUACGAAUUUCUAAGCAAACACCUCCCAUUCAGCAACUAUUCAAACAUCGAAUUAAGUAAUAUCAAAAAAAGACCACGGUAUUGGAAAAAAGGGAUCAGGUAAAUUAUGCAAUUAAGAAUCUUGCAGUCGAAACAAACGAGCAAGAAACUCAGGAAAGAAAGAAAUGAACGUUUUGAUGAUAGAAGUGACCUACUAGAUCGAAAUCGGUGACAAGUUCUACAGAGAGAAGAAAGCAACUGCAGAAAUGACGACAGGAAAUACGUUAGAUGUAUAAUUUCAAGUCCACUUUCAAAUUGACGAAGAGCGGGAAUUGUUGGCCGGGAUGUGGACAAUGAACCACAAUGGAGGACCGACCAUCGAAAUCUGUGAUUUUCACGCCUAUAACGGCCCAUUCAGGGUGGACGAUGUAUGGUGAAUUCGGCGCCACGGAUAUUUGUAUGUUUUAUGCGACAAACCAGAAGCCGCCACUUAUACUAACAUGGACAAGCUUUUAUGGACAGACCAUGCAUGAUAGAACAGAGCCUAGUCAAAGGCAAUUGUGAUUUGCCAAAGACCGACUUCUACUGAAGCACAAUUGAAAGAAGAAGAAGAAACGAUACAAGGCGCACCGGAUGAAAUUUGAACAGAAGCUAGAGAAUGUUGCAACGAACAAAAAAAACCACCCAUUCUCUGCCUCAAAAGAAUUAACCGAAAAUUGGGUGCAAUGAUUACAAAAAAUCCUAGGCUGCUCUUGCUGAUGUGAACGGUGUUGUUGGCAUUCGGCAGUUCCAAAGCCUUACAUAGAUGGAUGCUUUUCUGUUGCUUGCACCAGUCCGUUAGAGUUAAAAUUUGGAUGUAUUCCCCGCCAUUGCUAUAGAAUACAUUAUCCCCAAAGUAAGAUUACAGUGUGGGUAAUACAUAGAUUCAACAAAGGCAAAUUGAACACAAGAACAAAGAUUAUAUCCAAAGCCAAAGCCCCCAUUGCCGAGAACAUCAGAAUCUGAAGACUAUGUACAGUGGCUGUCAUAAAUAA